rnacentral:misc_RNA from 1 species
GAUGAAGAACGUAGCGAAAUGCGAUAAGUAAUGUGAAUUGCAGAAUUCAGUGAAUCAUCGAAUCUUUGAACGCACAUUGCGCCCGACAGUAUUCUGGCGGGCAUGCCUGUCCGAGCGUCAUUUCAACCCUCGCGCCCAUCUGGGCUGCGGUGUUGGGGACCGGCCUGCCCCCCGGGGCGCGCCGCCCCCCAAAUUCAGUGGCGGUCUCGCUGCAGCCUCCCUUGCGUAGUAGCACACCUCGCACCGGAGCGCAGCGCGGCCACGCCGUAAAACCCCCGACCCCCAUGAGUUUGACCUCGGAUCAGGUAGGAAUACCCGCUGAACUUAAGCAUAUCAAUAAGCGGAGGA